UACAGAGGUGGCAAGCGUUGUUCGGAAUUACUGGGCGUAAAGGGCGCGUAGGCGGCCUUCUAAGUCAGACGUGAAAUCCCCCGGCUUAACCUGGGAACUGCGUCUGAUACUGGAAGGCUUGAGUGCGGGAGAGGGAUGUGGAAUUCCAGGUGUAGCGGUGAAAUGCGUAGAUAUCUGGAGGAACACCGGUGGCGAAGGCGGCAUCCUGGACCGAAACUGACGCUGAGGCGCGAAAGCUAGGGGAGCAAACGGG
rnacentral:rRNA from 1 species